rnacentral:rRNA from 1 species
CGUGGCCUACGGGGGGCAGCAGUGAGGAAUAUUGGUCAAUGGGCGCGAGCCUGAACCAGCCAAGUCGCGUGAGGGAGGACGGCCCUACGGGUUGUAAACCUCUUUUGCCGGGGAGCAACGGGCGUCACGUGUGGCGCCACUGAGAGUACCCGGAGAAAAAGCAUCGGCUAACUCCGUGCCAGCAGCCGCGGUAAUACGGAGGAUGCGAGCGUUAAUCGGAAUUACUGGGCGUAAAGCGCUCGUAGGCGGUAUGUCAAGUCAAGGGUGAAAUCCCCGCGCCCAACGUGGGAACUGCCUUUGAAACU